UACGGAGGGGACUAGCGUUGUUCGGAAUUACUGGGCGUAAAGCGUACGCAGGCGGCUUUGCAAGACAGGUGUGAAAUCCCCGGGCCUAACCUGGGAACUGCAUUUGUGACUGCAUGGCUAGAGUUUGUCAGAGGGGGGUGGAAUUCCACGUGUAGCAGUGAAAUGCGUAGAUAUGUGGAGGAACACCGAUGGCGAAGGCAGCCCCCUGGGAUGUGACUGACGCUCAUGUACGAAAGCGUGGGGAGCAAACAGG
rnacentral:rRNA from 1 species